GACGAACGCUGGCGGCGUGCUUAAUACAUGCAAGUCGAGCGAACAGACGAGACGCUUGCUUCUCUCACGUUUGCGGCGGACGGGAGUGAAACAUGUGGAACAUCCCCUUAUAUGUCUGGUAACUCCACGGGACACCGGCGAUUACCCCGGAUGAUAUUCUGCUGCAUAUGGUUCAUUAGUAAAAUUCGGCCUUGCUGUCACUUCUCGAUGGAUCUCCGCUGCAUUAGCUAGUUGGUAAGGUAACGGCUUUUCACGGGAAGUAUGCCUAGCCGACCUGAGAGGGGGAUCGGCCACACUGGAACUUGGACACGGUCCAGACUCCUACGGGAGGCAGCAGUAGGGAAUCUUCCGCAAUGGGCGAAAGCCUGACGGAGCAACGCCGCGUGAGUGAUGGAGGUCUUCGGAUCGUAAAACUCUGUUAUUAGGGAAGAACAUAUGUGUAAGGAACUGAGCACAGCUUGACGGUACCUAAUCAGAAAGCCACGGCUAACUACGUG
rnacentral:rRNA from 1 species